AAAAAUCAAACUUGAUUGUGGGCCGUGGGCCAAAAAUAAAUUUUAGCAUCAUAAAUCAAACGGUAUUACAUUAAAGUUGCUAUGGGUUUAUUUGUUUUAUAAUAUUUAAAAUAAAUAUAAAACAACUUCAAUCUGAUUAACUAAUGCAGUUUUAUUUGUUAAGUUUUGCAUUUUAAAGAAAUCCCCUCUCCCCGGACGGUAUGGCGGGCCAAAUCAAAGGAUAUCACGGGCCAACUUUGGCCCGCGGGCCCUAGUUUGGGCAUCUCUGACUUAAAGGGAUA